CAUCUCAGCUCCUGUAUGUAACCCCCUCACCCUUAUUCCCGUAAGCCACCCCAAUGAAACUCAUUGCCAGUGAAAGCAUACGAAUACAUGAGACAGUACAAAAUCCCCAACUAUCUGCAAAAUUGAACUGCAAUAUCACUUCAUACCCAAAAUGGAGAGCCAGUGUGGAUGAAACCUGUUUCCAGUUACGAACUGCAAAAUGAAAUGAAGGGGCACACACUGAUACUCCGUGAGCAUGUGACCAGAGAAAGGCCAUAGCAUAGUGGCUAGAGUUAACCAUUUGUAACACAAGGGGACAAUGUGGAACAUCAAGGAGAAAAAGUAAAGACUGGGAAGGUCACUAACCAGGAACAGGCAGACAAAC
rnacentral:lncRNA from 1 species